CAAUUUCCCCAAACGAAUCCUCCACAAAAACCCCUCAUUUCCCAUUCUGCUCCUCCCCACUUCUAAUACAAGCCUUUUCUGCCAACGCCUCCACCACAGCCCUUCCCCUUUACCGCCGUCUCUGUCCGCGCCAAGCCCAAAAAAAAAAACUCAUCCUCAGCAACCUUUCUGUUCUCGGUGAAAAGGGCAAGAACAGCUACGACGUCGAGACUCUCAUCAAAUUCUUCUCCACCUGCUCCUCUUCCGUGGAUGGCUUGAGCAGCAACAACAGCGGAGAUUUCCAACUCACCGAGCCGUCACCACCCAUCGGAUAUCCAUUGCCGCCUGCGAAUUUCACCAAGAAAGCCUUGAAAUCUGCCUAGGAAAUAUUCAACCUUUGAAUGGUUCAAUUGGUUCAUCCAGGAAUUUUCAGCUGUUCGAUCUGGUCGAAUGCAAACUCAGAGAAGACUAAAAGUCUAUGAAACUUGGUGAAAGCCAGCGAAGAAAUUGACUAGAAACCAGUCUAGUUUGGCCGAGGUUUUCUAUUGGUGCCCUCGAUUAUAUUUGUUCUCUUUUGAUGGAGUCCUUGAUUUAUCAAUAGAGAGAUAAAUGCUAUUCAUACUAGCUUUUGGAAGAUAUCUAUGGUUACGGUUGAAGAAUGUUGAAGACAAAAUUGCCUUUUGCUCAUGGAGUGGUUCAUUUAGAUGUUCUUCAAUUUCUUAAAUUGUGAUUGCUUUUGUAAAUGUACCUUAUGUACAAGUGAUAUUUUGGACAAAUGUUAUUUUUGUAGGCAUUAGUUGGGUAAUGUACACUUGAAUUUGGCAUUUGAGAAUGCUAUAUUAUUACCAUGUAAUCUAAUGCAAAUACUUUUGGUUA